rnacentral:rRNA from 1 species
GGUCAAGUCAUCAUGGCCCCUAUGUCCAGGGCUACACACGUGCUACAAUGGCGGGUACAGAGUGAAGCGAAGCCGCGAGGUUAGAGCGAAGCACUAAAGCCUGCCGUAGUUCGGAUUGAAGUCUGAAACCCGACUUCAUGAAGUUGGAAUCGCUAGUAAUCGCGCAUCAGCAUGGCGCGGUGAAUACGUUCCCGGGCCUU